CCCUUAGAUGUUCUGGGCCGCACGCGCGCUACACUGACGAAUGCAACGAGCUUAUAACCUUGGCCGAAAGGUCUGGGUAAUCUCCGAAUUUCGUCGUGAUGGGGAUAGAUUAUUGCAAUUAUUAAUCUUCAACGAGGAAUGCCUAGUAAGCGCAAGUCAUCAGCUUGCGUUGAUUACGUCCCUGCCCUUUGUACACACCGCCCGUCGCUCCUACCGAUUGAAUGGUCCGGUGAAGCGUUCGGACCGUGGCCUUUGGACGGUUCGCCGUCUGUUGGCUGCGGGAAGUUCGUUAAACCUUAUCAUUUAGAGGAAGGAGAAGUCGUAACA
rnacentral:rRNA from 1 species